AACGAACGCUGGCGGCAUGCCUAACACAUGCAAGUCGAACGAGACCUUCGGGUCUAUUGGCGCACGGGUGCGUAACGCGUGGGAACCUGCCCUUAGGUUCGGAAUAACUCCCCGAAAGGGGUGCUAAUACCGGAUAAUGUCUUCGGACCAAAGAUUUAUCGCCUUUGGAUGGGCCCGCGUUGGAUUAGCUAGUUGGUAGGGUAAAAGCCUACCAAGGCGACGAUCCAUAGCUGGUCUGAGAGGAUGAUCAGCCACACUGGGACUGAGACACGGCCCAGAAUCCUACGGGAGGCCGCAGUGGGGAAUAGUGGAACAUAGGCAAAAGGCUGAUCCAGCAAUGCCGCGUGAGUGAUGAAGGCCUUAGGGUUGUAAAGCUCUUUUACCCGGGAUGAUAAUGACAGUACCGGGAGAAUAAGCUCCGGCUAACUACGUG
rnacentral:rRNA from 1 species